rnacentral:tRNA from 1 species
GGUGAUGUGCCGGAAUAAACGGAGUGCGAUGAUGGUGCAAAUUAUGAGAACUCUUUCUCCUUCACCU